AUUAUAAUUGUUUAGUAUAAUGGCGCAGAUUCUAUUGUCUUUCUCUAAACUAAAUUUAGAGUAUUUGCAUCCUCCUCCUUUUAGUAUUGCGAGAAAAGGACGGAACAUGAAUUUUACAUUUAAAGACUCCAAAUUUUACUGCACGCUAUAUAUUUAAACAAUAGGC